rnacentral:rRNA from 1 species
UGCCAGCAGCCGCGGUAAUACGGAGGGUCCAAGCGUUGUCCGGAAUCACUGGGUGUAAAGGGUGCGCAGGCGGGCUUGUAAGUCAGAGGUGAAAUCCCACGGCCUAACCGUGGAACUGCCUUUGAUACUGCAAGUCUUGAGUCCUGGAGGGGCUAUCGGAAUUCGUGGUGUAGCGGUGAAAUGCGUAGAUAUCACGAGGAACACCGGAGGUGUAGACGGAUAGCUGGACAGGUACUGACGCUGAGGCACGAAAGCGUGGGGAGCGAACAGGAUUAGAUA